rnacentral:rRNA from 1 species
AUUAAACGCUGGCGGCAUGCCUUACACAUGCAAGUCGAACGGUAACAGGUCUUCGGAUGCUGACGAGUGGCGAACGGGUGAGUAAUAUAUCGGAACGUGCCCAGUCGUGGGGGAUAACGCAGCGAAAGCUGUGCUAAUACCGCAUACGAUCUAUGGAUGAAAGCGGGGGAUCGCAAGACCUCGCGCGAUUGGAGCGGCCGAUAUCAGAUUAGGUAGUUGGUGGGGUAAAGGCCCACCAAGCCAACGAUCUGUAGCUGGUCUGAGAGGACGACCAGCCACACUGGAACUGAGACACGGUCCAGACUCCUACGGGAGGCAGCAGUGGGGAAUUUUGGACAAUGGGCGCAAGCCUGAUCCAGCAAUGCCGCGUGCAGGAUGAAGGCCUUCGGGUUGUAAACUGCUUUUGUUACGGAACGUAAAAGGCUACUGGUUAAGUAACCCGGGGCGUCAUGACGGUACCGUAAGAACUAAGCACCGGCUAACUACGUGCCAGCAGCC